AUUGAACGCUGGCGGCAGGCCUAAUACAUGCAAGUCGAGCGAGCGGCGGACGGGUGAGUAAUGUAUGGGGAUCUGCCCGAUAGAGCGGGAUAACUACUGGAAAAGGUGGCUAAUACCGCAUACUAUCGGUUGAACCCAUAUGGGAUUAGCUAGUAGGUGGGGUAAAGGCUCACCGAGGCGACGAUCUCUAGCUGGUCCGAGAGGAUGAUCAGUCACACAGGGACUGAGACACGGCCCAGACUCCUACGGGAGGCAGCAGUAGGGAAUAUUGCACAAUGGGCGCAAGCCUGAUGCAGCCAUGCCGCGUGUGUUAAGAAGGCCUUAGGGUUGUAAAGUACUUUCAGCGGGGAUGCGUUACCCGCAGAAGAAGCAACGGCUAACUCCGUGCCAGCCGCCGCGGUAAUAC
rnacentral:rRNA from 1 species